AAACCCUGCCCUUGGGGACACACCCCUCCCACGCGUGGCCUUUCUCCGCACUAUACCCCUUGGAGAAGCCCCACCCCGUACCUGGAAUAAGGGGGCGGAGGGGCGUCAUGCACACCCGAGGCUGCUAACGCCUGCUCGCCCGUGGCUCCAGACUGGUCUUGCCCCUCAGAUCAAGCCUCCUCCCUCCCACUUUGCUCUCCAUCAUUCCCCCCCUCCUGGAAGACCCCUUACUCUUGCUGACUGGACUCCUGCACUCUGAGUCGGCGCUGCCGUCGGUAGUGCAGAUACCAAAAGGCUCCCAAGCCAGCCAAGACGAUGAGCAGGAUCCCAGAGGGCAUGGGCUAGGAAGCAAGGCUGCUCUGAGUUCCCUUCCUGCUACUCUGGCCUCAGGCAACAAACACUAAGGCUUUCUCAGAGCAUCUGUUUCUUGCUUUGCGGAACGGGAACAUGAGCCCUACCAGUCUAUCAUGAAAACUCACUGAGAUCUGAGUAGGGAGCCAUGGCUUCGGCCUGUCAUCUCAGCGGUUUGGGAGGCUGAAGCUGAAGUCUAACGGUGAAUUCAAGGUCAGCCUGGGGGAGGUGGUGCACAUGUGUGUGGAUGCUCAGAGAUCAAAGAAAGGCACUGGACCUUCUGGAGCUGCUGGAAUCAUCACCAGUUGUGAGCAGCACUCAAAUGGGGUCCUGGGAACCAAGCUGAAGUAUUCGAC